GACGAACGCUGGCGGCGCGCCUAACACAUGCAAGUCGAACGAGCGAGAGAGAGCUUGCUUUCUCGAGCGAGUGGCGAACGGGUGAGUAACGCGUGGGUAACCUGCCUCACACAGGGGGAUAACAGUUAGAAAUGACUGCUAAUACCGCAUAACCCGAUAGGAUCGCAUGAUCCAGACGGAAAAGAUUUAUCGGUGUGAGAUGGACCCGCGUCUGAUUAGCUGGUUGGUGAGGUAACGGCCCACCAAGGCGACGAUCAGUAGCCGGCCUGAGAGGGUGAACGGCCACAUUGGGACUGAGACACGGCCCAA
rnacentral:rRNA from 1 species